rnacentral:rRNA from 1 species
GACGAACGCUGGCGGCGUGCUUAACACAUGCAAGUCGAACGGAAAGGCGCUGCUUUUGUGGGGUGGUCGUGUGGCGAACGGGUGAGUAACACGUGAGGAACAUGCCCUUGACAGUGGGAUAAAUUUAGGAAACUGGGGAGAAUAUCGGAGAGGAGAUCCUGCUGCAUGGGGGGGGAUGGAAAGUUUCGGCGGUUGGGGCUGGACUCGCGGGUUACCAGCUGGUUGGGGGGGUAGGGGCGGACCAAGGCUUUGACGGGUAGCCCGCCUGAGAGGGUGACCGGCCACAUUGGUACUGAGAUACGGCCCAGACGCCAACCGGAGGCAGCAGGGGGGAAUAUUGCAGAAUGGGCGCGAGCCUGAUGCAACAACGCCGCGUGCGGGAUGCCGUCCUUCGGGUUGUAAACCAAUUUCGCCUGUGACGUGGCGUUAGUGACGGUAAUGAGUAAAGAAGCACCGGCUAACUACGUG